GGAGACUCUGAGAUUGAGUUACUGCUGGUUGUCAGAGAUCAGCUGUGCUUCUCUGGCCUCAGCUCUGAAUUCCAACCCCUCCCAUCUGAGAGAGCUGGAUCUGAGAGGAAACAAGCUGAAGGAUUCAGGAGUACAGCUGCUGUCUGGUUUUCUGGAAAGUCGACACUGUGGACUGGAGACUCUGAGAUUAAGGUGCUUCAGUUUGU